GUCUGGGCGCAGUGGUUUAUCGAUCUCUUCCUUGCCUUGUGCUAGUCCAGAAGUAGUGGUGGUUCAAGCGUUUAUUGCUGCAAUAACUUGCAAAACAACGCGGGAAUCGAUCGAUAAACCUCUGCAUCCAGC
rfam:Sorghum bicolor cultivar BTx623 chromosome 4, whole genome shotgun sequence.